rnacentral:rRNA from 1 species
AUUGAACGCUGGCGGCAUGCUUUACACAUGCAAGUCGAACGGUAACAGGCCGCAAGGUGCUGACGAGUGGCGAACGGGUGAGUAAUGCAUCGGAACGUGCCCAGUCGUGGGGGAUAACGCAGCGAAAGCUGCGCUAAUACCGCAUACGAUCUAUGGAUGAAAGCGGGGGACCGUAAGGCCUCGCGCGAUUGGAGCGGCCGAUGUCAGAUUAGGUAGUUGGUGGGGUAAAGGCUACCCAAGCCGACGAUCUGUAGCUGGUCUGAGAGGACGACCAGCCACACUGGGACUGAGGCACGGCCCAGACUCCUACGGGAGGCAGCAGUGGGGAAUUUUGGACAAUGGGCGCAAGCCUGAUCCAGCAAUGCCGCGUGCAGGAAGAAGGCCUUCGGGUUGUAAACUGCUUUUGUACGGAACGAAACGGCUCUGGAUAAUACCUGGGGCUAAUGACGGUGCCGUAAGAAUAAGCACCGGCUAACUACGUGCCAGCCGCCGCGGUAAGAC